GACGAACGCUGGCGGCGUGCCUAAUACAUGCAAGUAGAACGCUGAAGGAGGAGCUUGCUUCUCUGGAUGAGUUGCGAACGGGUGAGUAACGCGUAGGUAACCUGCCUGGUAGCGGGGGAUAACUAUUGGAAACGAUAGCUAAUACCGCAUAAUAUUGACUAUUGCAUGAUAGUCAGUUGAAAGGUGCAACUGCACCACUACCAGAUGGACCUGCGUUGUAUUAGCUAGUUGGUGGGGUAACGGCUCACCAAGGCGACGAUACAUAGCCGACCUGAGAGGGGGAUCGGCCACACUGGGACUGAGACACGGCCCAGACUCCUACGGGAGGCAGCAGUAGGGAAUCUUCGGCAAUGGACGGAAGUCUGACCGAGCAACGCCGCGUGAGUGAAGAAGGUUUUCGGAUCGUAAAGCUCUGUUGUAAGAGAAGAACGAGUGUGAGAGUGGAAAGCUCACACUGUGACGGUAUCUUACCAGAAAGGGACGGCUAACUACGU
rnacentral:rRNA from 1 species